rnacentral:rRNA from 1 species
GACGAACGCUGGCGGCGUGCUUAACACAUGCAAGUCGAGCGAUGAAGCACCUUCGGGUGUGGAUUAGCGGCGAACGGGUGAGGAACACGUGAGGAAUCUGCCUUCCACUCUGGGAUAACUCCGGGAAACCGGGGCUAAUACCGGAUAUUUUCAACUGGCGGCAUCGCCGGUUGAAGAAAGUUUUUCGGUGGAAGAUGACCUCGCGGCCUAUCAGCUUGUUGGUGAGGUAAAGGCUAACCAAGGCGACGACGGGUAGCCGGCCUGAGAGGGUGACCGACCACACUGGGACUGAGACACGGCCCAGACUCCUACGGGAGGCAGCAGUGGGGAAUAUUGGGCAAUGGAGGAAACUCUGACCCAGCGACGCCGCGUGAGGGAUGAAGGCCUUCGGGUUGUAAACCUCUUUCAGCAGGGAAUAAGCGAAAGUGAAGGUACCUGCAGAAGAAGCACCGGCUAACUAUGUGCCAGCCGCCGCAGUAAUAC